rnacentral:tRNA from 16 species
GCCCGGGUAGCUCAGUUGGUAGAGCACGUGACUGAAAAUCACGGUGUCGGCGGUUCGACUCCGUCCCCGGGCACCA